rnacentral:rRNA from 1 species
AGAGUUUGAUCAUGGCUCAGAACGAACGCUGGCGGCAGGCUUAACACAUGCAAGUCGAACGAGUGUAGCAAUACACUAGUGGCGCACGGGUGAGUAACACGUGGAUAUCUGCCUUUUGGUUCGGAAUAACCCUGGGAAACUAGGGCUAAUACCGGAUGGUUCCUACGGGAUAAAGAUUUAUCGCCAAAAGAUGAGUCCGCGUCCGAUUAGCUAGUUGGUGAGGUAAUGGCUCACCAAGGCGACGAUCGGUAGCUGGUCUGAGAGGACGAUCAGCCACACUGGGACUGAGACACGGCCCAGACUCCUACGGGAGGCAGCAGUGGGGAAUAUUGGACAAUGGGGGCAACCCUGAUCCAGCCAUGCCGCGUGAGUGAUGAAGGCCUUCGGGUUGUAAAGCUCUUUUGGCGGGGACGAUGAUGACGGUACCCGCAGAAUAAGCCCCGGCUAACUUCGUGCCAGCAGCCGCGGUAAGACGAAGGGGGCUAGCGUUGUUCGGAAUUACUGGGCGUAAAGCGAGUGUAGGUGGUUGUCAUAGUCAGGCGUGAAAGCCUUGAGCUCAACUCAAGAAAUGCGCUUGAUACUGGGCAGCUAGAGGACCGGAGAGGAUAGUGGAAUUCCCAGUGUAGUGGUGAAAUACGUAGAGAUUGGGAAGAACACCAGUGGCGAAGGCGGCUAUCUGGACGGUUUCUGACACUAAGACUCGAAAGCGUGGGGAGCAAACAGGAUUAGAUACCCUAGUAGUCC